CACGGGGGGAGCGAGCGUUGUUCGGAAUCACUGGGCGUAAAGGGCGUGUAGGCGGUUGAGCAAGUGGAAUGUGAAAUGCCCCGGCUUACCUGGGGACCGGCAUCCCAAACUGCUCGACUUGAGUACGGGAGAGGAUGGAGGAAUUCCUGGUGUAGCGGUGAAAUGCGUAGAUAUCAGGAGGAACACCGGUGGCGAAGGCGUCCAUCUGGCCCGAUACUGACGCUGAGGCGCGAAAGCUAGGGUAGCAAACGGG
rnacentral:rRNA from 1 species